rnacentral:rRNA from 1 species
GGAUGCGAUCAUACCAGCACUAAAGCACCGGAUCCCAUCAGAACUCCGAAGUUAAGCGUGCUUGGGCGAGAGUAGUACUAGGAUGGGUGACCUCCUGGGUAGUCCUCGUGUUGCAUUCC